UUGCGUUACCAUCACGCAGACGAGCUCAGGAGGGAAAGGCUGUUCGGCGUUGAGCCACUGGUCAAGCUUAGUCUGUCUCCAACAAUUUUAUCACAGAGUCGAAACAUGGCGGAGCCGAAGACCAAAUACGAUCGACAGCUCAGGAUCUGGGGAGAACAAGGACAGGCAGCGCUGGAAAAUGCCAGCAUCUGCUUAUUAAAUUGUGGUCCUACUGGAUCUGAAACACUAAAAAAUCUCGUCCUUGGUGGAAUUGGAAGUAUUACUGUUAUCGAUGGCUCUAAAGUUGAAGCAAGCGAUCUCGGGAACAACUUUAUGGUGGAUGAAUCGAGCAUUGGGCAAUCAAAAGCAAAAUGUGUAUGUGCCUUUUUGCAGGAGCUGAAUGAUUCUGUCAAGGCCAAAUUCGUAGAGGAGUCCCCAGAGGCAUUAAUUGAGACGAACCCAUCCUUUUUUUCUCAGUUUACUUUGGUGGUUGCAACUCAGCUGGUGGAAACUUCAAUGCUGAAAUUGGAUAGGAUCUGUAGGCAGGCAAAUGUUAUGUUGAUAUUUGCACGCUCAUAUGGCCUAACUGGGCUUGUUCGGAUUAGUUUGAAGGAACACAAUGUUAUCGAGUCAAAGCCUGAUCAUUUUCUGGAUGAUCUCCGACUGAACCAUCCCUGGCCUGAGUUGAAGAGUUUUGCCGAAACCAUUGACUUAAACGUGACAGAUCCUGUGGUCCAUAAGCAUAUACCAUAUGUUGUCAUUCUUGUUAAGAUGGCAGAUGAGUGGGCCUCUAAACAUGGUGGUUGCCUUCCGACAACUAGGGAAGAAAAAAAGGAGUUCAAGGAUCUUUUGAAAGCCAGGAUGAUUGCUUUAGAUGAAGAUAAUUACAAAGAAGCUAUUGAGGCCGCAUUCAAAGUGUCCACUCCUCGAGGAUUCGGUUCAAAUCUCCGCCAAAUAAUAGAUGAUAGUGCUGCUGAAGUUGAUUCCACUUCAUCAGAUUUUUGGGUGAUGGUGGCAGCUUUAAAGGAAUUCAUUGCAAAUGAAGGUGAUGGGGAGGCACCUCUUGAGGGAUCAAUACCAGAUAUGACAUCUUUAACAGAAUAUUAUGUAAAUUUGCAAAAGAUCUACCAGGCUAAAGCCGAGGCAGACUUUCAUGCUAUUGAGCAACACGUGAGGAAUAUUUUAAAGAGAAUCAGGAGGGAUACAGAUGCCAUUUCAAAGACAAUCAUAAAAAGCUUCUGUAAAAAUGCAAGAAAGCUCACAGUAUGUAGAUACCGCCUAGUUGAGACCGAGUUUAAUUCACCUAUUCUACCAGAGUUACAAAAGUAUUUGACAGAUGAAGAUUACAGCAUAGCUGUUGGGUUGUACAUUCUGCUUCGUGCUGCUGACCGGUUUGCAACCAAUUACAACAGGUUUCCUGGAAUGUUUGACGGAGAAAUCGAUGAGGACAUAUCUCGGUUGAAGACUAUUGCUGUUGGCAUACUAAGUGACUUGGGUUGCAAUGGAUCAACAUUGACAGAGGACCUAAUCAAUGAGAUGUGCCGAUUUGGUGCUGCAGAGCUUCAUGCAGUCGCUGCCUUCAUAGGGGGAAUUGCAUCACAGGAGGCUAUUAAGCUCAUUACAAAGCAAUUCGUGCCAAUGUCCGGGACUUUCAUCUUUAAUGGAAUUGAUCACAAGUCUCAAUUGCUGUUCUUGUAGUUGUUUAUGAGAUCGGAAUAAUUGCCUCAAAAGUAACUGGUACGUCCUGAUCUCUCUGGAAGAAGUUUCUGGUUCUCUUUAUGAAUUCUUCCCAGGGCUUAUUAUUAUUUAAGUACUGGAUUUCCUCACUUUUAUGAUAUAUUGUGGUCACCCUUUCUCUGGUAAAUA